AAAGAGACACUUCUUGGAAAUAAAAUUUGAUCAAGAAACUGUUGAGGAGGAACCAGGAGGGACAACAGAAAGGACACUGGUGGAGAAACAAAGCUGGCCUACCAGAGCCCAGGGCAGAAAAUGCCUUGCAGGUUCAUAUUCAAGGGGCUGCAGUUUCAUUCCAAGCCUGUUGGGGGCAGAUGUGAGCCGUGGGUGUGGCCUAUGUCACCAGCGCACACAGGCAAAUGGAGGUGGGGUUGGGGAGGAGAGGCCAGGCACCUGGACACAGAGUGGGGGCAGGGACUGGGGGACAGAUUGACAUAAUUUACAUCAGUCCUGGCAAUUAAUUACUUCUCACACUCUUCAUGGCUCACACCUCUGCAAAUCUCUAUCAAAUCUUUCCCCCAAAGACCUCAAACCUACCUCCUUCCAUGACUUGCAACAGAGGCUCACCCCCAAAUUACUGAAAAAAGGGAGGCAACCUUUAUUCAUGAAACUUUGCAUUUUUGUUCUUUUACUAAAACUUAAUCUGUAGGUUUCUGACCUUAGCAAUGGGUGACAUGACUCCACUCUCAACUACGCAAACAAUCUGGCAUUCUGACAGCCUAUUUCAAAACAUUAUCUUCCUAAAUUCACUCCUAAGUUACAAGAAAAUUAGAGGGAAACAUGGGUCAAAACCAAACUGGAUCCUGGAAAGCUAUAAGGGACACACAUUGAUGUUUCAGGUAUCUGGGGGGUGUUGUCAUGGUACUGGUGAUUAUCUGAGAGGCAGAUAAUCCUUACCCAGAGUCAGACGUCCUUACCCAGGUGCUUCAAAGCCUUAGACCAAAUGAGAAACAAAAAGUCAAAUAAGACCUCCAAAGGGCAAAGUGUACAAACAGCCCUGGCUUGUGGGACAGGCAGAGAAAAAGGCACCUCCUCCUCUGAGAGCCUGUCACUCUUCCAGCCUGACUAGAUUUGCAGGAACCUCAGGCUGGACAGUUAACGUGGGAUGAACUUCCUUUGCUAGCAGGCUUGGUGAAGCCAGCAAAAAGCAAACGAGAAAGGAUACACCUUGGAAGGGUGUGACCGUCCUUGUGCUCUGCUGUCAUUCUGUCAGAUAAAGGGGUCAGGUGCUCUCACACUACAAGUACAAAGCAACCUGUAUGAAUGAGAGUCAGCCUCUCAAUGACUCAAGAUACAGAAAGAUCAGAUGCAGAUUCUGAAAUAUCUAGGGAAUAAAUGAAUACAUACAUACAUACACACACACACAUAGGCAUGUUUUAAAACAUGGGGAAAGGAUGCAAUGUUUUCAAAAGGACCAGGAUCUUUGAAAUCUAGCAAAAGCAAAUCCAUGAUUUAUCUGCAUGUUUCAUUCCCAGGGAGAAAGAGUCCCCCUCGGCCCCCCCACCCCCGCCAAAGGUCAAACUUUAAAUUUGUGUUCUUCCAAGAUUCAUGAGGUUUUGGACUUUCAUCGUUCAGCUUUGGGGCUUCUCAGAUAUCAUUAGUGAAGGUGGGUCUGCUGAGCUGCAGCCUGUUCUUAGGUGAAGCGGGUUACAUCUCCAAUGAACUUUCCUACACAGAUCCAUAGCCUGAGGUUUCUGUGGGACAUGGAUUUGUGGGGAGGUUGGGUCUACUCAACAUGUAUGUUUAAUUUAUCCAAUGCUCACACAUAUUGUGCAUAUACAAUACUAAUUACACAUAUAGAUAUACAAAUAUUGCAUAUAACAUAUAAAUACAUAUAUAAUAUGCAACCUGAAAAGAACUUUGUGGAGUCAAAUAUCCUCUACCAGAUUGAUUCUUCACUAGCAUUUACAUUAUUCUAGAAAGAAUCCUUCUGCCUAACUCCAGUAACUUCUCUGUCUAUUCCAAGGUCUAGUGAAUCAUUGACUUACAUUCCACUUUUAAAAUUAAUUUAGCUUUUAUAUAUUUGUGUGCUACCUUCUCUCUCUCUCUCUCCCUCUGUGUGUGUGUGUGUAUGUGUGUGUGUGAGAGAGAGGGGGGGGGAGAGAGAGAGUCAGAAAUAACUUGUGAGAGUUGAAUUCUCUCUUUCUACCAUGUAGGUCAUUGGGAUUGAACUAAGGUCAUCAUGUUUAGCUGCAAAUACACUUAGCCACCGAGCCACUGAGCCGACUUACUGGCAACAAAUUCCAAUCUUCAGUGUCUUUUCUGGAUACUUUUAUUAAGUGGGACCAUAGUAUCUGUUCUCAUUCUAGCCUUCCGGUUUCUUUAAACAUAAUGGACUCAAGACUCCUUCUCAUUGCAGUUUGGGGAUUUUGUUCUUUUAUUGCUUAACAUGACUCUCUGGCAUAGAUCUUCUGUACUUUAUGGUCUUAAGUGUCUCAAAGCCAUGGGCAAAAUUGCCCACUAUAUAAUAUCUGUAUAAAUGGAGAGGAGAAGACAUGAAAAAUGGAGGUUUUCUGUGAGGAAUUGUCCAAGGUUUGUUUCCAGGGUCAGUAGAGUUUAGCCUCCUUCUUUGUGUAUGUUCUGUCUCUCCUCUCUCUCUCUCUCUCUCUCUCUCUCUCUCUCUCUCUCUCUCUCUCUCUCUCUCUCUCUCUCUCUCUCGCCACGUGUGGAGGGCAGAGGAGUACUGGCAAGAAUUAGCUUUCUUCUUCACUCAUGUGGAUCCCAGGAAUCAAAUUCAGGUCACUGGGCUUGGCAGCAAGCACCUUGACACGCCAAGCCACCUUGUAGAUCUCUGCAUUGCAUUUUCCGGUCUUAGGCUGUAACAAGCUUUAAUGCACACUAUGUGGGGGAAGUAUCUCAACAAACAAUGCAGAAUGGGAUUUUCACUCACUGAUACUAUUCUGCUAGAGAUAUUCCUCGCUUUCAGUCCUAUUUCUCUUUUGGGUGAAAGUCUUAUUAUUAAGAAGGGCUUGUAUUUCUGGCAAUGAAGCUGGCAUUUAGUCAGAAACACUCAGCUAGCCUAUGUUUUCCUAUCCUGCUUAGAAUGGUCAAAAGGACCCAUUUGUUUUAAUGAACCAUCGCUGUGGCUUCUCUGCCGUGCUGAUGUCUGAAGGCAUGGCGACCUUUUCACUUGUCACACUCCUGGGCCCCGAGAGAUGACAGCAUGUCAGUGCAGCUACGCUCUCUGCCAGGAUUCCUGAAGCAUCACAAAUGGACGGGGUCAUUUAACAGAGAUGGGUACCAAGGAGAGGCUGUGAGGAAACUGCUAGCCUCGGAGCAAAUCCAGACCCAGGACAGCUCUGGCCGAGGCUGUGUGCUCUCCUCCAAAAUUACUCAUUAAGGCCGGUGCUGUUUUACAUCAGGGGAACCUGGUUCGUAAGCUUUGCUCAUUAGCCACAGCGCUACCCCACGGCUCCUUCACCUCUCAGCCAGUCUGCUGUUGUGUUAGGAGCAUCUUCUGACCUACUUUCUUGCAGCUUAAAGAUUCAGCCAUGCCAGGUUGCUGCAGCCCCUGGCCAGGGAGUAUGAUCAGGCAUCUCUUUGCCUGACUACAGCACAGUGACAGGGAUGUGAUCUUAAUUUGACACUGGCAAUGGUAAGGGUGUUUGUGCCAUUGAAAUGGGUAAAAGCUAGAACCUGGCUUUUCUUCACACCCUCCCGUUAGCAGUUAAUUAUUAAGAUGCUUAUAAAAAUAGUAUUUGAGUCAGUACUUCUCACUCUAUUUAAUAACUUGGAAAUGAUUCCACUCUCCAGCUGAGAGACUGGACCAUCCUCAGGACUGACAAGAUUCACAUCCCACCCAACACAUCCCUUCAACCUCGCAAAGAAGAAAAGAGAAAGCUGGAGAGGAGUGGCUGCCAACGUGUCUAAUUCAAAUGUGAACGGGGGUGGGACCCGAAUGGGUCCCCACUCAGAAUCAUCAGAUCACAUCAGAAACAGGGGUGACUAGUUACCACAGAUCAUUCGGGAUCUCUCGUGUCUGAAAAUGCAAGUCUUAUCUUCUGAGAAGUCACAGUUCCUCCAUUCCUUUAGAAAAAAGAUGGCAGAAAGGAUGUUGCACUAACAAGGAGGAGACACCAAAGCAGGGGUCAUAGGGAGUCCCUGGAGAUGUUCUAGGUCAUACACACAUUUAAAAAUAUUUCAAAUCGUAUGCACAUGGAUGCUUUGCCUACAUAUAGCAUGUGCAUGCCAGGUGCUUAUAUAGGCCAGAAGGGGGCACUGACUCCCCUGGAACUGGAGUCAUAGAGUACUUGAAUGACUUGUGGGAGCUUGGAAAUGGACUUGGGUUCGUUGGAAGAGCAGCCAAAGCUCUUAACUGCUGGGUGUUAUCUCCGGCAUGAACACAUUUUUUGAAACUACUUACUCAACCUUAUUUUUUUAUAUAUAUUCCCAAACUCAACAUGACAAAACUUCAAAGGACAGAAUGUCAAAAACCUACAGAUCCAUUGCUGGAUUCAUGGUCUUGUACAGAUUUUAUGUUUGUUUGUUGUUUUUUUUUUUGCCAUUAUUCUAGCAGAAAACCCAACAUUUUUCAAAUAUGUAAUUAUCACUAUGCUAUUUCAGUUCUUCUUAAGUGAAAAUGUGAAUCAGUAAGGGUCUCAACUGUGAGACACAAAGAUGGAAGUUGCCUUCAGGGACCCUGCUGCUUCAAGAGGACAACAGAGGGAGCCUUGUUGUGUCCCAUGUAGUCAAGGCUCUGGUUCCCACAAGAUGAAAGAUGAAUCUAGGAAUUGGCUAUUUCAGAGCCCUUUUUGUACAUCACAUCAAACAAAGAAGUGGCCAGGAGCCUGGCUCCAACCUCAUGUAGUAGCAUUGUGAACUGAGUAGUGUGUAUCUGCUUGACUGCUUGACUCCAUGGGCCUCUAUUUUCUGGUUGACUCCAGAAACGUAGAUGGGACCAAAUGUUCUCAGUGGGUGUAUUGAUAACUUGUUUCACCAGUAAACAAACUAGUAGGCAGAAAAAAAAACUAUAGGAAGACAACUCAUCAUAUGGGGGGGGGGUAGCAGGGGCAGACAGCUCAUCAUAGAGGGGGUCAGACAGCCCAUCAUAGUGCGAGGUGCAGACAACUUGUCAUAGUGGGGGACAUAUAACCUGUCAUAGUGGAGGGGGGCCAGACAGUCCAUCAUAGUGGGAGGGGCAGAUGGCCCAUCAUAGUGGGGAGGAAUGGACAGUCCAUCAUAGUGGGGAGGGGCAGACAGCCUAUCAUAGUGGGGUGGGGCAGACAACCUGUCAUAGAGGGGAGAGACAGAUGGCCCAUCAUAGUGGGAGGGGCAGAUGGCCCAUCAUAAUGGGGAGGAAUGGACAGUCCAUCAUAGUGGGGAGGGGCAGACAACCUGUCAUAGAGGGGAGAGACAGAUGGCCCAUCCUAGUGGAGAGGGGCAGACAGCUCAUCAUAGUGGGGAAGGGCAGACAGCUUGUCACAGAGGGGAAAUGCAAUGGCAGCAGCUUUGUGUCAGAGGGCUGUUCACACGGUAGUAGAUAAAAGUGGAGAACAUGGCUGGAAUCUUCACAAGAUUGCUCCUAGUGAUCUACUUCUGCCAGGCCUCACACGAAAGAAGAAAAAAAACUAUCUUGCUUUUGGGAAGAAAACCAACUAAACCAAAAAACCCGUCAAGCUUAGUGGCUCGUGUGCACGAUUCCCUCCUGACAGGAGCUGAGUACUCAGCAGCCCUGAGCCCAAGCUGAAUCGGAAGUGUCAGCAAACCCCUGCAGACACAGGGAACUGCAAACUGCUUUUUCUGAUGUCAGGACUUCUCCUCAGGGAGCUCACUCUGCUGCAUUUGCUCAUGGCCAGAAGACUCAUCCGGCAGGAGAAAGGUAUAUGGGUUGCUGUCUACUACUGUUGGCUUUAACAUCAACAGCUGAGUGGCAAGUCAAACACGUGGACACCACCUUGUAUUCUGAAAUUCACUGAUCCAACAGUGUGGGAAUCUAGAUGAACAGGGAGGAAGCCUGUGUGUGAGAGUUCUACCAUCCCCGCCCCUGCCUCUCCCAUUCUGCUCAUAGAUGUCGAAAUUGCAAAGAGCAGAUGGCUGGUUCCUGCCCUGAUGGCCUCUGGCCUCGGACACCCCGCCAUGACUUGCCCUGCAUUACAAAAGCUCAUCAGCAAAUGUGCUCUGGGGACGCUGACUUGGAUGCUAUGUUCUAACAGGUAUUCCUGAUUAUUCCUACAGAGGGUCACACCUGGGUGUCCUCAAGGGAGAAGAGAGAGUCAUGGCCUGAGUCUGUGCUCAACUCUGAAUGAAUUAUGGGAGGCAGUGCUCCAAGUUCACCUUUGCCUUAAGAAUACAUUGGUAUGCUCACAAAGCCCACCACAUAGCAGAUGAUUAGACAGCUUUUUUUUUUUCCAGCUGAAUUUACAGAAUAAAACUGGCUCAGUGGCCUUUGAGGGUGACAUGGAUACAGAACUGGCCUAUUUCAGUCAUAAGUAAAAUCAUUCUUUCCUGGAUGAACUAAGCUCAAAUUAAAGAAGUGAUUGUAAAGAUUAAAAGAAGCAAGAAUGUAAAAAGACUGACCUUGGCAUCCAGGAGCCUGCUAAGAAAUACCUCUUGGACCUUCCUGCUCUCCCAAAGAAAGUAAGCAAGCCACAACACCAGCAUCAAACAAGAGCAGUUCCUUCCUUCCACCAGAACAAUCUGCUGAAAUAUCCAACCUCAGGACUGGAGAUUGGCUGCCAGACUAGAGCCAAGUGGGCAAACCAGCAACAGCCACUCAGGACAGCCAGAAGGUAGCUGCUUGGGCACACAUAUGCCUUGUUUGAUGGUAUUCACACUAUUGUCUGUGUUCAGACACAAUGAUGAAAGGACUUUCUUUUGAACUGUUUCAGCUACACAAAUAAGAGGGGACAAUAUGAUAUCAUUUUCAAAUGGCAUAAAAUUAAAUCAUCUGAGAAAAUUAAUGAAAAAUAUCUAAGCUUCAGACAGAGAAAACUGUACCUCUUAGGGGACAUCAAGAACACUAGAGAAAAAGGAAGGGAAGAUUCAUUGGCAUCAAUUUCAGAUAACCUUAAAGGGAAGAGCAUUAGUGAAGAGCAGAGGUGAAGGGCAGCAUACCCCAGCAUGGAUUUAACAUAAAAUGUGAGUAUUUAAAAUGACAUGAUCUUGAUGAGGAAAUUAGAAAACAAAUCAAGAAGUCUCCAGGGUGAGCUUGGUGGGUAAAGGUACUAGCCCUGGGCAAACCCUGAGACCUGAGCUGGGUCACUGGGACCCACAUAUGAUGGAUGGUGAGAACUAUCUCCACAACUUUGUCUUCUGCCCUCUACAUGUGCAUGUACAAUCCUCAUCUCCCUUCAUACACACACACACACACACACUAAUAAUGAUAAUGCUUUUAUAUAAAAGCUGACAUGAGUACAUUGGUUAUGAAGGUGGCAGCUUCCACCAAUGAAGGGUCAAUCAUUGCUCUCUGAUCCACUCCUGCCAGAGCAUGGCAUCAUAACUCCUGAACAUAUAGGCACUUAUUCCCAUCUUACGAUGAGCAGCAGGGAGGUCUUGAUGGUGUUAUCACCCAAGUCCACACAAGUUUCCCAUAGGCAGAACUGGGGAAUGAAACCAGAUAAUCUAACAGUAGACCUCAAACUAUUAAGAACUGUUACAAUCCAUAUUAGAACCUACUAACUGUCAUCAUCCUGGAAAUUUCAUCAUAAAAUAGCUAUACUGAAGUACAAUUUACAUAAGAGAACAUUCAUGUUUUUAUAUCACACAAUGAAGUGGGGUUUGUAUAUUUAUAAAUUUGGGCAUCUCUUCCUGCUAAAUCUAGAAUAUUCUCAUUACAUGUACUAAUCUAAGCAGGGACACCUGUCUCAUACUUGCUCUGUGGUGAAGAUCAGUAGCAGUAAUCAAGAAGGCCAUCUGAGAACAGAUGAGUAUCUACAGAGAAGAGAGAAUAAUGGGUUAGCUUAUUUCCAGUCUGACCUGCCCAUGAAGGCAUGGUGGACCUCAGAAGUAGGACUGAGAAUUGUCAAGACCCCAAGUCUGUUUGGUGGACAUGGGGAGACCUGGUCUGAACACAGGAAUACAUAUAUGCUAGUUGGUAUCCCGUCAGCUUACUCCUGGGCGUGAGAUCCCAGGGUAAGGAAGUAAGCUGAACAAACCAUGGAGAGCAAGCAACAUCCCUUCAGGAUUCCUGCCUUGAUUUCCCACUAUGAUUGGGAUGUAUAAGUCAAAUAAACCCUUCCCUCUCCCAAAAGUUGUUACUGGCCAGUUCUUUGUUACAGUGACAGGAAAGGAAGGGAAGCAGCAUACACUCUGGCAUUACAGAGUUCUGCCCAGGCUGAACAUGAGGCAGGGAGGUGGCAGGUCAGGCUAUACUGUGGCCUGUGGGUUGUUCUGGGGCUACAGGCUUCGACAGAUUCCAAGAGCAACUGUCUCUCCAGGGAUGCUCCUAUCCCUGUUUGAUAAGUAAUGUCCUUUUAUGCUGCAUGAGGGGAUCAGACGGGAUGGAAGCAGAGCAGCAGACAAAGGAAGAGCUGCAUGCUCAGUGUGAGAUUCUGCAAUCAGUGUUCCUCGAAAGACAUAGCCAGCUGCAGGACUCUGGAGGGGGCAGGUGCAAUGUUGGCACCCGAGGGAAACAUUAGGAGUGACUUCCAUUUGAGAGCCUAGUAGUUUGGGGAAUUAUUUUCUUAGAAAAAAAUUAUCAUGUUCCUAAGACUACAAACAUCCUCUGAUACAGUGGAAGAGGCUUGGUCUGGGUACCUGGCUUGCUUUUUGCAUUUGCUGCCCAUGGGGUUUAGAGGUAGUAUAGACCAGAGCCCAGGCUUGAUCAGAAGUAGGGCCUGCUGUUUCUGUCUUUGCCAUCAAUCCUCCUCUAGUGUUUGAUUUCCUUUCCUGGGAGGAUUUUUGGUACAAGAUAAAUUAGAACUGAGAUGGCAGUGUAGACGCAGCAGCAGGAAUACCAGCUGAGUUGGAAGGCUUUGCACAGAUCAAUCUUCCAUCCUGUUGAUGGCUUUUCCUGACAGUUCCCUAUGGUCUGCCUGCUAUCUGCCAGCAGCACCUUGUGCCUGCUUCCAAACAAAAGAGGGCUGCUGUGGUUGUAUCUGUUGCUAAAAUGCCUUAUUCUCUGAUGCGAGUCUCUGAAAGCAAUAAGCAAACUGGACAGAACGUGAGUUAGUGCUUACCCCCAGCUUCCUGCUGUACCCCAGCUUCCUGCUGUAAUUCCAAUAUCCCUCAGUAGCAAGUAUAUGUUUUGCAAAUGUGUUUAAAUCUUGCCUCCAGUGCUAUUCUGGGAGCCCAGCACUUGCCUCUGAGUAGCCACCUCUGUCCCCUCACAUUACCCAAGGAAGUGACAAGCUCUCUCAUGCUGUGUUUAGAAAUAUGUGUAGCCCCUAUACCAUAAGACCAACUAACUAGAAUAUAUAAAGAGCUCAAAAAAAACCCAAUUAUCCCUCAAUUACCUAAUCAAUAAAUUAUCAAAUAAGUAGACAAUUAUUUUUUGCAGGAGGAAAAAAAAAGACACAUGAAAAACUAGUAACAAAUGCACAAAGACUAUUCCCUCAGCCAUUGGGGAAAUGCCAAUGAGAACCACAAUGAGAUUGAUUCUUAUCGUACCCUAGACAGAACGACUUGCUUCAUGAAAACCAAUGACAACAAGUGCUGGUAAGGAACUGUGGGAAAGGAGCCUUCUUAUAAGGCUGGUGGGGGUACAAACUAGUGCAAUCACUAUGAAGAUCAGAGAAGAGGUCCUUCCAAGGAACAGAACCCUUGAAUGACCCAGCUGUACCUCUCCUGGGAAUAUGCCCAUAGGAGUAUGAGCUAGCAUACCAUAAGAUACCUUUGUACCAUGAGAUACCUCUCACCCAUGCUUGUUGCAGCCACUACAUCCCAGCUAUGAACCCAAUAUUGGGGUCCAUCAAGAGCUGAAUGGAUGAAAGACUUGCAACACACACACACACACACACACACACACACACACACACACACACGAGAAAGUUAAAUUGGACUGUAGAGAAGGGGAAGGGAGUUGGUCGCCAGGAAGAUAGGAUAGGUUAAUGGGUAUGAAAUCUGGUGAAGGCACAUGCCACACUUGAAUUAACUGUCAUAAUGAAGUCCAUCACUUUGUAUGAUGGUUAUACUCAUUUUUCUGUCAUUUGAAAGUCUCUGGACACUUGGCUUCUUCCUCAAGGGUAGAAGAGUCUGGACAAGAGUCUGGAGGUUUCACCUAGGGCUGAUGGUUGGGUCAGGUCAUAGGAACCAUGUAAAUGCCUCCCUCUGAAGCUGGAAGUCCUUGCUUCUCUUCCUUCCUCCUGUGUUAUAUAAAACCAUUUACAUUUCCUCUUCCAGAAUAUUUUCCUGAAAGCUUCUUUUCUAAGGAAUCACAUGUUUUCUUUAUCUCUAAAGCCCAUGAUCAUGUCGUUUUAUAACACACUCAUUAUAUGGUUUCAGAGACCUCAGGACUUGGCUGGUUCUAAGAAACACUUCUUAGCAUGCUUAUAGCCAACCUCUGUCACCCACCUCCCCCAUGUAAAUCACAUAGGAAUCCCUCUUGCUUUGGUCUGUGAAUUGUGUGCAUCUUUUCCCUUCUGUUCUUUUCUCCCUGUGGUGCCUUCCCUAGCCUCAAAACCUCUGCCUCUCAGACUCUCACGUUCUUUAACAUCCAACUUCAGUGUAGCAGGACUGUACUCUAUAGCUCUAUAAUGACUUAGUCAGCUCCAGCUUCUUAUUUUUUUUUUAAAGAUUUGUUUUUUAUUAUAUGUAAGUACACUGUAGCUGUCUUCAGACACACUAGAAGAGGGAGUCAGACCUCAUUAUGGAUGGUUGUAAGCCACCAAGUGGCUGCUGGGAUUUGAACUCAGGACCUCACUGAGCCUUCUCCCAAGCCCCAGCUUCAGCUUCUAUGCCCCGAACUAGGAGACUUAUCAACAACAGACAAUUAUUCCCUGCUGUCUGUAGGCUGCAAAUCUCAGAUCAAGGCCUGGUUCCAGGGAGGGCUCUUUUCUGCUGUGGAGGCUGCUCAAAUUGAACUAUUAGGAGCUACACUGGUGCUUGCUCACUUCGCAAAGCUUUGUCUUCUAACACUAUCCUAGUCAGGAAUAAGAUUUGAACAUAUGAACUUUGGUAAUCCACAUGGUGCAUAGAAAUCACGGAUCCCACAGAAAGUUGGAAGUAUGCCUUGGCCUAUGACCAACACUGAUGUCUGCUCUGCUCUGACCCCUACUGUGCUAUUUGCUGCUCAGGGGUUAUACACAGAUAUCCACUGCUCUCAGAGUGAGGAGCUCAAGAAAGGGUAGACAUCAUUGUUCUGUCUUUUGGCUUUUGCUAUGAGCACCUACCACACAGGUGUAGAAGGAGGAGAUGACGUGGGGGUAGAAAUCUGCAAUUUCUAUGUUUUACAUUUUCCCUAUUCUUGAAGGUCUUUCAUGAAGCUGAAGUUCUGUCUCUCUUGCCACCUGCAUAAACACGGUACACACGCCUCACUACCUCAUAAAGCCAGUCACUCUGUCUUCUUCUAUACUACUCCCCCUGUCUAAAGCACAGGUAUUUCACCCAGAAGGGCAAACCCAUGACCAACUGAUGUUAUGUACUCCAUAAGACCUUGUGCUGCAAGAUCUUUUUUUUUUUUUUCCGUUUUUGAGACAGGGUUUCUCUGUGUAGCCCUGGCUGUCCUGGAACUCACUCUGUAGACCAAGCUGGCCUCAAACUUAGAAACUUGCCUGCCUCAGCCUCUCAAGUGCUGGGAUUAAAGGCGUGUGCCACCACUGCCUAGCUCUUGCUGCUAGGUCUUGAUAGAUAAUUUUAGAACAGAAAAAUGAUGCUAUGAAUUAACAAAAUAUCUAACAAGCAUAUUACUUUCACUGUGCAAAGACAAACUGGUGUCAACGUGGCUUCUGAAUCUUAGUUACCUGAGUAGUUCAGAAACUUAGAUUUUUUUUUUUAAUUACCAAUCUAACAAUUGCUGAUUUCAUAGUUUGUCUUUAGGUUCUUUGACAUGAGUUCCUCCCGAAUACUGAAUCAGUAAGUUCAAAGAUUAUGCAUUAGAUGGGUAUAAACCAUAUUUCAAAGCAACUUCAUUUCAGAACUGCAGUGUGCUUUUCUACUGAAAGCUUAGCAAAUAUCUUGAUAUUCCUAAUUUUUUUUCUGGUAGAAUAAUGGACUAAAAUAAAUUCUUAGUGCAUGGGAUAGGUACUGAUCCAUAUGACAAGUUUUCUAAUUAUACACACAUACAUGGAUACACACACACUUAAAAUGGAGUCCUCCUAAUCAGAUGUAGCCUCUUAAAUAUCAGUAACAACUUUAAAUCUCUUUAAAGCAGAAAAAGUCUGAGUAAAGCCUUGUUGUAAGGAGGAGAUCAAAGCUUAUCCAGUAGGAAACUAGUCAUAAAUGGACAUAAGCCAUAUAUACAAGCAUUUGUUAAUAAGCAUUACUUAGUGAAACAUGAUCCACUCUUGUAUUCUUGAGUGUUCACUGACCAAUGUGUAAAACAGACUUUACAGUGAAGAGCCCUCUCCCACCCACUGGUCAACAGCACAGACCUUAAGUCGGCAAGCAUGUGGCACUCAUGCUAGAGCUAGUCUAGUGUUGGGAAUGAGGUAUCCAGUUGCUACCUCGACGCGUUCUACAUCUAUUUUACUGGGGUGCAGUUGAAGGGUGAGCAUGGGGCUUGGGGUACCAGAGCAUGCAUCUGGAAGUCAGAGGAUAGCUUGUAGGACUUGACCUUCAAUCCUCUCCUUUCGCCAUGUGGGUUCUGGGGAUUGAACUCAGGUUGUCAGGCUUGGCACCAAGUAGCUUUGCUAACGACUACUUUAUAAAGAAAAUCUAUGACUGAGCCAAUUUUCAGUGAAAUACAUGAAACAGGCUUUCAUAAGAAUAUCUGCAGGCCAUGUACUAGACUCUUCCGCAGUGAAUUAGUGCAUGGAAGAGAGGGUGCCAAGGCCCACUGACCAAUUAGGGAGUCAGAGCCUGAGAAUAGUGACCUAGGGAACCAGCUUUUGAGAAUAAUGCUCUUCUACACCCAGGGUAUGGGGGGCCGCAGAUAGCUGCUGACAAUUGGUUGGCCAUUUCCCACUUAAAAAAAAAAAAAACAUUUCCAAUGCUAAAACCUGGAGACAUCGGCUACAUUCAAACUUGUUUUGUUUUGUUCUGAGACAGGUAUGCAUUGCACCAACUGAAGACCUCAGCCCCCAAAAGACUUUCGCAGGUAAAACAAACGUUCUUCAUCCUUACUUUUCACUGUGAGGUACAUGGACUUGCUGACGUCUGCGCCCACAUCGU